rnacentral:rRNA from 1 species
GUGAACGCUGGCGGUAGGCCUAACACAUGCAAGUCGAACGGCAGCACAGUAAGAGCUUGCUCUUACGGGUGGCGAGUGGCGGACGGGUGAGGAAUACAUCGGAAUCUACUUUUUCGUGGGGGAUAACGUAGGGAAACUUACGCUAAUACCGCAUACGACCUACGGGUGAAAGCAGGGGAUCUUCGGACCUUGCGCGAUUGAAUGAGCCGAUGUCGGAUUAGCUAGUUGGCGGGGUAAAGGCCCACCAAGGCGACGAUCCGUAGCUGGUCUGAGAGGAUGAUCAGCCACACUGGAACUGAGACACGGCCCAGACUCCUACGGGAGGCAGCAGUGGGGAAUAUUGGACAAUGGGGGCAAGCCUGAUCCAGCCAUACCGCGUGGGUGAAGAAGGCCUUCGGGUUGUAAAGCCCUUUUGUUGGGAAAGAAAAGCAGCAGGUUAAUACCCCGCUGUUCUGACGGUACCCAAAGAAUAAGCACCGGCUAACUUCGUG